GUGGUCCGUGGCCAAGAUACCGGCUUUCAAGUAUUCGUCAUUCAAUAGCUCUUGCUUUAUUACCAUAUCGAAUAUUUAUCUUGACCAUGCUUAUCACAGGCAGUGCGGCGGUUGCCGUGUGUUAUGAGAAUUUACUAAAGAAUAGAGAAUUUUUUCGAUGGUAUUCUG
rnacentral:ribozyme from 1 species